ACGCGCAGCGAGAGGUGCUUGCACCUUUCAAGCGAGUGGCGAACGGGUGAGUAACACGUGGAUAACCUGCCUCAAGGCUGGGGAUAACAUUUGGAAACAGAUGCUAAUACCGAAUAAAACUUAGUAUCGCAUGAUAUCAAGUUAAAAGGCGCUACGGCGUCACCUAGAGAUGGAUCCGCGGUGCAUUAGUUAGUUGGUGGGGUAAAGGCUUACCAAGACGAUGAUGCAUAGCCGAGUUGAGAGACUGAUCGGCCACAUUGGGACUGAGACACGGCCCAAACUCCUACGGGAGGCUGCAGUAGGGAAUCUUCCACAAUGGGCGCAAGCCUGAUGGAGCAACGCCGCGUGUGUGAUGAAGGCUUUCGGGUCGUAAAGCACUGUUGUAUGGGAAGAAAUGCUAAAAUAGGGAAUGAUUUUAGUUUGACGGUACCAUACCAGAAAGGGACGGCUAAAUACGUGCCAGCAGCCGCGGUAAUACGUAUGUCCCGAGCGUUAUCCGGAUUUAUUGGGCGUAAAGCGAGCGCAGACGGUUGAUUAAGUCUGAUGUGAAAGCCCGGAGCUCAACUCCGGAAUGGCAUUGGAAACUGGUUAACUUGAGUGUUGUAGAGGUAAGUGGAACUCCAUGUGUAGCGGUGGAAUGCGUAGAUAUAUGGAAGAACACCAGUGGCGAAGGCGGCUUACUGGACAACAACUGACGUUGAGGCUCGAAAGUGUGGGUAGCAAACAGGAUUAGAUACCCUGGUAGUCCACACCGUAAACGAUGAAUACUAGGUGUUAGGAGGUUUCCGCCUCUUAGUGCCGAAGCUAACGCAUUAAGUAUUCCGCCUGGGGAGUACGACCGCAAGGUUGAAACUCAAAGGAAUUGACGGGGACCCGCACAAGCGGUGGAGCAUGUGGUUUAAUUCGAAGCAACGCGAAGAACCUUACCAGGUCUUGACAUCCUUUGAAGCUUUUAGAGAUAGAAGUGUUCUCUUCGGAGACAAAGUGACAGGUGGUGCAUGGUCGUCGUCAGCUCGUGUCGUGAGAUGUUGGGUUAAGUCCCGCAACGAGCGCAACCCUUAUUGUUAGUUGCCAGCAUUCAGUUGGGCACUCUAGCGAGACUGCCGGUGACAAACCGGAGGAAGGCGGGGACGACGUCAGAUCAUCAUGCCCCUUAUGACCUGGGCUACACACGUGCUACAAUGGCGUAUACAACGAGUUGCCAACCUGCGAAGGUGAGCUAAUCUCUUAAAGUACGUCUCAGUUCGGACUGCAGUCUGCAACUCGACUGCACGAAGUCGGAAUCGCUAGUAAUCGCGGAUCAGCACGCCGCGGUGAAUACGUUCCCGGGUCUUGUACACACCGCCCGUCACACCAUGGGAGUUUGUAAUG
rnacentral:rRNA from 1 species